rnacentral:tRNA from 1 species
UUAAGAUGGCAGAUCAGUGCGUAGGGUUUAAGGUCCUGUUAGGGAGUAUAUUUGUUACUCUUCUUAGUA